rnacentral:rRNA from 1 species
GAUGAACGCUGUCGGCGUGCCUAACACAUGCAAGUCGAACGGAGUCCAGCCUUAGAGACCUUCGGGUCAAAGAGGGGAAGACUGAGUGGCGGACGGGUGAGUAACACGUGGGCAACCUGGCUCAUAGAGGGGGAUAACAGAGAGAAAUUUCUGCUAAUACCGCAUAAGCACACACUGCCGCAUGGCAGAGUGUGAAAAGAGAAUCGCUAUGAGAUGGACCCGCGUCUGAUUAGCCAGUUGGCAGGGUAAGAGCCUACCAAAGCGACGAUCAGUAGCCGAUUUGAGAGGAUGAACGGCCACAUUGGGACUGAGACACGGCCCAAACUCCUACGGGAGGCAGCAGUGGGGGAUAUUGCACAAUGGGGGGAACCCUGAUGCAGCGACGCCGCGUGAGUGAAGAAGUAUUUCGGUAUGUAAAGCUCUAUCAGCAGGGAAGAUAAUGACAGUACCUGAAUAAGAAGCCCCGGCUAACUACGUG